rnacentral:lncRNA from 1 species
AUAAUGAAAAGGUAAUGAAAUUUAACUUCCAUACGUAAGUCAUUAUCAGCACAUUGACGAAGUUUAGAAACAUUGAAAUAAAGAUGACAGACAAACUAUUUUAAAGAUGUCAUCCACAUGCUUCUUCUAAUACUAGUUACUGAGGGCUUACAAGACAAGUUCAUAAGGAACUCCAAUUUCUCCUCAUCUGUCUGCAACUGAAAAAAGGCUGCUGUUUCUCCUUCAUCUUUGAU